GCUUCCGCUUCGCUCGUCGUUUCUCCUUCAAAUAAUGUGUUUUAUUGAUAAAUAUUCAUUAAUAUCAAUCGAAAUAUUGAAAAUUCAGUGCCGUGUAAUGUAAUUAUGCAAAAGUGAUUGGGAUUGACAACGAUUUAGAUGGAUGUGAAUAAUUUUCCGUCAAGUGAAAAAUCUCAUUGUCAGCGUUUACGAAUCUCUGUGCUUAAAAACUUCAGGAGAGUGCGAAGAAAUUGAAAAAGGACGACGGAUCAAUUUUCUACAGUUAAAUCUCCAAAUGAAUUUAUUUUGGCUUCUUGGUUCUUGAGGAUAAUUUGAAGAACAGGUGCAAACUUGGGGUAGAUUUGGAAAUAUGACAAUGAUGAUGACUUUUAGUUUGAUGAUCGACAAGAGUGCCGAGACAGCAGAAUGAAGAAUUCAAGGAACGCUUAUUAUACAACUUUA